UAGAGACGGGGUUUCACUGUGUUAGCCAGGCUGGUCUCGAUUUCUUGACCUCGUGAUCCACCUGCCUCGGCCUCCCAAAGUGCUGGGAUUACACGCGUGAGCCGCCAUGCCCAGCCAGAAACGCAUCUUUUUCUACAUAGUUGCUGUUGCUGAUGCAAAGAAGUCUCGCGAAUUCAAUCCAAAUAAUUCCACUGCUGUGCUGAGAAAAGGGAUAUGUGAAUACCAUUUAAAAAACUAUGCUGCUGCUCUAGAAACUUUUAUAGGAGGACAAAAAUUAGUGCAGAUGCUAAUUUCAGUGACUGGAUUAAAAGGUGUCAAGAAGCUCAGAAUGGCUCAGAAUCUGAGGUGG
rnacentral:lncRNA from 10 species